rnacentral:rRNA from 1 species
GACGAACGCUGGCGGCGUGCCUAAUACAUGCAAGUAGGACGCUGAAGAGAGGAGCUUGCUCUUCUUGGAUGAGUUGCGAACGGGUGAGUAACGCGUAGGUAACCUGCCUUGUAGCGGGGGAUAACUAUUGGAAACGAUAGCUAAUACCGCAUAACAAUGGAUGACACAUGUCAUUUAUUUGAAAGGGGCAAUUGCUCCACUACAAGAUGGACCUGCGUUGUAUUAGCUAGUAGGUGAGGUAAUGGCUCACCUAGGCGACGAUACAUAGCCGACCUGAGAGGGUGAUCGGCCACACUGGGACUGAGACACGGCCCAGACUCCUACGGGAGGCAGCAGUAGGGAAUCUUCGGCAAUGGGGGCAGCCCUGACCGAGCAACGCCGCGUGAGUGAAGAAGGUUUUCGGAUCGUAAAGCUCUGUUGUAAGUCAAGAACGGGUGUGAGAGUGGAAAGUUCACACUGUGACGGUAGCUUACCAGAAAGGGACGGCUAACUACGUG